rnacentral:rRNA from 2 species
AAUUUGGAUUAAUACCUCAUAGUAUAAUGACUCGGCAUCGAGAUAUUAUUAAAGUCACAACGGUAAAACAUGAGCAUGCGUCCCAUUAGCUAGUUGGUAAGGUAACGGCUUACCAAGGCUACGAUGGGUAGGGGUCCUGAGAGGGAGAUCCCCCACACUGGUACUGAGACACGGACCAGACUCCUACGGGAGGCAGCAGUGAGGAAUAUUGGACAAUGGGCGCAAGCCUGAUCCAGCCAUGCCGCGUGCAGGAUGACGGUCCUAUGGAUUGUAAACUGCUUUUAUACGAGAAGAAACACUCCGACGUGUCGGAGCUUGACGGUAUCGUAAGAAUAAGGAUCGGCUAACUCCGUGCCAGCAGCCGCGGUAAUACGGAGGAUCCAAGCGUUAUCCGGAAUCAUUGGGUUUAAAGGGUCCGUAGGCGGUUUAAUAAGUCAGUGGUGAAAGCCCAUCGCUCAACGGUGGAACGGCCAUUGAUACUGUUAAACUUGAAUUAUUAGGAAGUAACUAGAAUAUGUAGUGUAGCGGUGAAAUGCUUAGAGAUUACAUG